GACGAACGCUGGCGGCGUGCUUAACACAUGCAAGUCGAACGGAAAGGCCCUGCUUUUGUGGGGUGCUCGAGUGGCGAACGGGUGAGUAACACGUGAGUAACCUGCCCUUGACUUUGGGAUAACUUCAGGAAACUGGGGCUAAUACCGGAUAGGAGCUCCUGCUGCAUGGUGGGGGUUGGAAAGUUUCGGCGGUUGGGGAUGGACUCGCGGCUUAUCAGCUUGUUGGUGGGGUAGUGGCUUACCAAGGUUUUGACGGGUAGCCGGCCUGAGAGGGUGACCGGCCACAUUGGGACUGAGGUACGGCCCAGACUCCUACGGGAGGCAGCAGUGGGGAAUAUUGCACAAUAGGCGGAAGCCUGAUGCAGCAACGCCGCGUGCGGGAUGACGGCCUUCGGGUUGUAAACCGCUUUCGCCUGUGACGAAGCGUGAGUGACGGUAAUGGGUAAGGAAGCACCGGCUAACUACGUG
rnacentral:rRNA from 1 species